rnacentral:lncRNA from 1 species
GCAUAUAUAUAUAUAUAUAUAUAUAUAUAUAUAUAUAUAUAUAUAUACCUGGUUGGUUAUCUCUCGAAUUGAGGAAGACAAUUGUCUUUGUGCGUUUUUGUGCACAAAGACAUCUGUGCUUGUAGAUUUAAGUGGAAAAGCCGAUGCACAGAGACAGUCCCACUCUCUCAGCAUUGGAAGCCUGGGUCCAGUGGCAGGAAAAGUCAUUACACUUGGAGACUUCCUCAGCUGCAUUGGAUGGCCAUGUUGUCUUUUGUGCUCCAACACGCCCUAAGCACUCCACAAUGCCUUGCUGCGUCGCCAUCUCAGCCGUUGAACCUUCUUGUUGGUUUCUUCAGCCUGUUCCGCUGAAACAGUCUUCACAUGCUGGAAAAACAUUGCACCUUCUACCUCUCUUGGGAGUUCUUUGGCCACAUUUCUCAGGAAUGAACCACCAUUUCUGAGCUCGAUUUGGAAACUUGAUGCUGAAGGCUCAGAUGAUUUCAUUUUCUACUUGGACUACAAGCACAAGGUUCCUUUUAGACCAACCAAGAAAGACAGGAGGAUAUAUGGUGGGGGAGUGGCCAUAAUGAAGGGUCCUUAUAAGCAAAUGUAGUGUUUAACUGAUACAAAUGGAUUCCAAAGUUCAGGUUUAUGUGCACUUCCAUGAAUCUAUGGUCUUAUCAGGUCAGAAUUUUUACUAACUAUGCAGAUGAAGACUCAUUUGUGCCAGUGAGAUGCAGCUGAAAGUGCUCUAACAGAAACCAGAGGAAUUGGAUUUAAAUCCAAAUAUUGCCACUUAUUAACUGCAUAACAUGGGGCAAGUCACUAAUGCCCUUAUUUCCAUUCUCUGUCAAAUGAAGAACUUGGACUAAGUGACCUCUCAGUUUCUUCAUAGCUCUAAAUCUGUACUUCACAUUUUAUGCAAUUCCAAAUCUCCCAGAGAGGAUCUAUCCAAUUCACUGGAAUUCUUUUCCCAUCUUCUAAUUUAAUUUGGAAUGUCAGGAUAAUACUUGGUAUUGGAACAAGACCCAAAUACUAUGUGGAAAAAAAUAAGAAGAAAUAGAAAGGAUAUUUUCUUAGAGUUUUUAGAUAAUACCUGACAUUGAUAUAGUUUAAAAUUUGCAAAGUGCUUGAAUGGGUG